UAGCUCGUCACCUUCGUUCGUCGUUCGUUCGUCACCGAUAAUGACUGAGAAGUUGCUGCCCAGAAGCCAGGAGCAGAAAAGGCGUUACAUCAUCGUUCGCGGAUCAUCAUGUUUGGGUGUGGAAUCCUGGAAGUAUUUGCUGACUGCUAGCUCCGGUCUUCAUUUGGCCUUGUUGCGGAUGCAUUUUUUGCCAUACUUUCCCUCCAGAAGCCGUUCUUUAGUGGAAAGUUGGAGGGGGUUGGUCUAAAAUGUUGAUUCAACACUAUUGGGAUCGCAUCCUGGGAUUGCUAGUGGGCCGCUAGUGCCAAUAUAUACAACGCAGUUUCUUCAUGGAAUCGUGUGGUCCUGGCUCGGAGAUCCGUGAAUCAAUGCCGACCUUUGUCCAUGACAGAAGAGUGACUUCCAACAACGUUCUACUCCAUCUUUAUCUUCGAGACGCACGCUCAUCUGGCUUCCGUCCUUCUUAUACUGCUGCACAAGCUGUCUCACUUCACUGACGUGACGAGUUACUGGACCACUUCAGUGAUCGCUUCCGUCCACUAUGACACACCUGCAGUAAUUCACCACUGGAUUAUGCCCAGGAAAUACAGACGUUGAGAAGACGGACACCAAAACAUCGCCGGUAUCUCCAAAAUGUCAUCGCGGAUCAUCAUUUGUUGUUGGUAAUAUGUGUUUGUUUGUUAGUUUACCCGUUGGCUGCCACGCCUUUGUUCCCCCUUGUCGAUACGGUGAUCCAUUCUUGAGGCAUGCAUUCCAUGUUCUCCUAUCACCGUGUCAGCCCGGACUUGUCAGCAAUGGCAAGUCCCCCACCCCACCUUGGUCAUGGAUCCUUCAGACAUGGCGCGUAGAGAGUAGAGAACAACCUACGGGUUGUAUGGCGUGGCAGCC